AACGUGCCCUUCUCUACGGAAUAGCCUCUGGAAACGGAGAGUAAUACCGUAUACGCCCUUUGGGGGAAAGAUUUAUCGGAGAAGGAUCGGCCCGCGUUAGAUUAGGUAGUUGGUGGGGUAAUGGCCUACCAAGCCUACGAUCUAUAGCUGGUUUUAGAGGAUGAUCAGCAACACUGGGACUGAGACACGGCCCAGACUCCUACGGGAGGCAGCAGUGGGGAAUCUUAGACAAUGGGGGCAACCCUGAUCUAGCCAUGCCGCGUGAGUGAUGAAGGCCUUAGGGUCGUAAAGCUCUUUCGCCUGUGAUGAUAAUGACAGUAGCAGGUAAAGAAACCCCGGCUAACUCCGUG
rnacentral:rRNA from 1 species